rnacentral:rRNA from 1 species
GACGAACGCUGGCGGCGUGCCUAAUACAUGCAAGUCGAGCGGACCAAAGGGAGCUUGCUCCUGGAGGUUAGCGGCGAACGGGUGAGUAACACGUGGGCAACCUGCCUGUAAGACUGGGAUAACAUCGAGAAAUCGGUGCUAAUACCGGAUAAUAAAAAGAACUGCAUGGUUCUUUUUUGAAAGAUGGUUUCGGCUAUCACUUACAGAUGGGCCGCGGCGCAUAGCUAGUUGGUGAGGUAACGGCUCACCAAGGCAACGAUGCGUAGCCGACCUGAGAGGGUGAUCGGCCACACUGGGACGUGAGACACGGCCCAGACUCCUACGGGAGGCAGCAGUAGGGAAUCUUCCGCAAUGGACGAAAGUCUGACGGAGCAACGCCGCGUGAGUGAUGAAGGUUUUCGGAUCGUAAAACUACUGUUGUUAGGGAAGAACAAGUGCCGUUCG